rnacentral:misc_RNA from 1 species
GAUUGGCCUCCCGGCCGUUUUCAAAUCCACACACACCGUGAACCGUUCCCGCGUCCUUCGGGCCGUGGGACCAACCAACCAAACAAUGUCCAAUGAACGUGAAAUGUCGUAAACAAAACAAAACUUUCAACAACGGAUCUCUUGGCUCU